UACGGAGGGUGCGAGCGUUGUCCGGAAUCACUGGGCGUAAAGGGCGCGUAGGCGGCUCAUGAAGGCUGUGGUGAAAGUCCGGGGCUCAACCUCGGAUCGGCCGUGGCGACUCGUGGGCUGGAGCACUGUAGAGGCGGGUGGAAUUCCGGGUGUAGCGGUGGAAUGCGUAGAGAUCCGGAGGAACACCAGUGGCGAAGGCGGCUGCCUGGGCCUGGCCUGACGCUGAGGCGCGAAAGCGUGGGGAGCAAUCCGG
rnacentral:rRNA from 1 species